GGGGCUGAUUUUGGUUUCGACUUCGGAUAUUGAGCCAGGGGAAGCGUGCCGGUGCAGGCUAGAGACCACCGUAAGCGUCGCAGCAACUGAUAAGCGCCGAGAAGACCUCUCAGCGUGACUACGCCCUCGCUGCCUAAUUAAGCGAGCUUGCGUGUCUGUCAGACCGGGUUCGUCACUGGCCCGGACCCUGGCAUCGACUUAGGUGACUUGCUUCCCAGUCGCGUUGGCGGGGCUGGGAGGGACUGCUACCGCUAACUGGGCCCAUCAUCCGGGGCGGCGUCCGCCCAAGCCGGAGGGUCGAGCAGAGAUCCAUGCGGACUGCGCACGGAGAAGCCCUGGCGAAGUGCCGGAGGACCGGGGUUCAAUUCCCCGCAGCUCCACAA
rnacentral:tmRNA from 1 species